UAAACUAUACGGUCUAAUAUAUAUAUUUANGACAUUUUGUAGAGGAGCAUGUAAAUUGAAUGAAUAUAGAUUGACUUUAAUUUAUGGGGGUAGAAUNUAAUAUUUUUUAAGAUUAAAUUAUAUAUAUGUAUUUGCUGAAUUUACUAAAAAUAUAAUAUAAACUAGGAUUUGAUACCCUAUUAUAUUUAUUUUAAAAUUUUAAUUUGUCGGGUACUACGAGUAAUAAUAUUGACUUAAAACCUAAAGGACAUGGCGGUGUUUAGAACUAAUCAGGGGAGCUUGCUUUGUAAUCGAUAAUCCACGUUAGACCUAACUAUUUUAAUUAGUUUGUAUACCGUUGUUUUCAGUUAACCUUUAAUAGUAUAAAAGUUGGCGUAGCAAUUUUUUGGUUAUUAAUUCAAAUCAAGGUGCAGCUGAUGUAAUAGGGAGGGUGAGCUACAAUUAUAAUAUUUAUUUAUCUAAUAAUUGAUUUAAAAUUCUUUUUGAGGUUGGACUUGAAAGUAAAAUAUUUUU
rnacentral:rRNA from 1 species